AUUGAACGCUGGCGGAAUGCUUUACACAUGCAAGUCGAACGGUAGAGGGGGCAACCCCUCGAGAGUGGCGAACGGGUGAGUAAUAUAUCGGAACGUGCCCAGUCGUGGGGGAUAACGUAGCGAAAGUUACGCUAAUACCGCAUACGAUCUAAGGAUGAAAGCGGGGGAUCGCAAGACCUCGCGCGAUUGGAGCGGCCGAUAUCAAAUUAGGUAGUUGGUGGGGUAAAGGCUCACCAAGCCAACGAUCUGUAGCUGGUCUGAGAGGACGACCAGCCACACUGGAACUGAGACACGGUCCAGACUCCUACGGGAGGCAGCAGUGGGGAAUUUUGGACAAUGGACGCAAGUCUGAUCCAGCCAUUCCGCGUGCAGGAUGAAGGCCCUCGGGUUGUAAACUGCUUUUGUACGGAACGAAAAGGUCUCUCUUAAUACGGGGGACUCAUGACGGUACCGUAAGAAUAAGCACCGGCUAACUACGUGCCAGCCGCCGCUGUAAAAC
rnacentral:rRNA from 1 species